AACUGAAAACCUUGUUAAUCAAUGACCAUAAAGCAGGCCAAAUCCAGUAAUCCAAAUCAUUAGAGCUAAAAGCGGAUUGGGAGCCAAAUCAGUUCAAACUACUUGACGGACUAAACAUCUAGAAAGAAGCAUUUCAUCCACAUCUGGAACUUAAGAGAGAUCUACUGACCAACGUCAAUAGCUUCUUGUCUAACCAAAGAGAAAACAUACAAGGGUAGCAGAUCAUAGAAAUUAUAUUGAUGUUAACAGGCAGAAACCUUCUACCUUCUUAAGAAAAAGAAAGCUAAAAUCUUCAGGCAGGGCAUACUUUCAUUCUUUUAACAAUAUAUCGAUCGUUCCUGUUUCCUGUACUAUCAUCAUUCAAUUCAAUUCAAUGUUUUGGAUCUGUACUAUCAUCAUUCAAUUCAUGUUUCCUGGAAACAAAUAACAAAGAACAAAUAAGAUUACUUUGAAUGUAGGAGGUAAUCCUUCCAUUUUUAUGGAAAAUGCAAAACAGUACAUGAUACUGAAAUAAUAUGUUCUGCAACUACCGAUUUUCUCUUUUGGACAGACCCAGUGCAUAGAAGCUCCCACACAAGAUGGGGUCUGGGGAGGGAUUAUAGAAACCUAGUCUUACCCCUGCAAAGUGUAAUGCAGAGAGGCUGGUUCGAACCUAGGACCUCUUGGCACAAGUGGGGAGUACUUCACCACUGCGCCAGGCCUGCCCUACCGAUUUUCUCAAAGGAGAGUAAAUUAUUAAACCAAUUCCGAUUUCUGAAAACAAUGCAAAAUAACCAAGGUAAUGUUGAAGAUGCAUGUGCAAUUAGAACAAGCAUGCAUUCUUGACUAACAAUGAGACUUACAGUUGGCACAACACUCGACCAGUUGAGGCUCAGAUAGAACUGCAAUCAAGAUGCAGGAGGGGGGGGGGGACCGACCAGUUGGCACAACACAUGCCUUGUUAUAUAUUCAUUUCCCAUUUUUUUCCAAGAAGCAUAUUAUUAGUAAGAAUUAAUGGUCAGAAUAUUCAGUGUGUAGUAUUUUGGAAAAUACUACAGCAAGAAUCUCACAUAAGAGAACUUGCGCGAAAUAAAUAAUGUGUGUGCCUAUCAAGGCGACACAAAUACUAUUCUUUUUCUUGUUUAACAUUCAACCAAGAGAAUAAAAGAAGCAUAGUUUCUUUUUAUCAAUUAAAAGAAGCAUAGUUUCUUUUCACCAAUUAAAAGAAGCAUAGUUAUAGGCACCUGUGAGAUCAUCUUCAAACGUGGAGGCACUCAAAGCUGAGUCACCAUGAAGAGAAGCAUAAAUUCUGAGUGCAAUGUUGUGUAUGUAGCUGAAAUUCAACCAUCAAAGACAACCUUAAUAAUAAGCAAUGGUUUAAACAAGCAAUUGUUGAAGUUAAAUGUAACUAGAUAAGAAGUCACAUUUGAUUCAUGAUCAUCGAGCUGAAAAUGACACCGAUAAAAGCUGAGUCACCAUGAAGAGAAACAACUAAUGUGAACCUCGGGUUGUAAAACAAAUAGGAUGAGUCGUGUGCUGAUUGCAAAAAAUUGUACUUCUAACCAAAUGACCAUGCUUCAUGAAUAGAUGACAAUAUAGUAACAGGAAAGUGAAGUACGGUGAAAUUUUGUAAGCUACUAAGGGCAUAGGCAAAGCUCACACUCCAGCUUGUACUGCUUGAAGAAAUCAACCAAAAGCACCCAGAAAGAUAAAGGGCAUUGUGGCCAGGGGCGGACCUAGAGAGUAUCUUGACUGGGGGCAAUCUAUUUGAGUGGGGCGUAUUAUGUAAAAGCUCACAGAAUAUAAGCAUAUUUUUCAAAAAUCAGAAGCAAAUCUUACUGGGAUUUCAAAUUUUGAGAGGGGUCCUGGGCCCCCACUCACCUCAAUGUAGGUCCGCCCCUGAUUGUGGCAUCCGAUGAAUGUUGGUAAUUGUACCAUCACACUAAUUUAAUCUGCAAAAUUCAUGUCGACAUCACUGAUCAUGAUGUAUCAGGUUAGGAUAAAAUCAUGGGGUUUUCCCAAAAUAAAACAAAACAAGCCCAGUUAGAAAGAAAUCAUAAGCCUAUCAGACAAUCAGGCAAUUAUGUUAGCAUGUCAACAAUCAGAUAGAACAGAACCUAUAGUCCUCAAUUUUUUUCCUUCUAAAAAAUGUA
rnacentral:lncRNA from 1 species